UAGGGAAUCUUCCGCAAUGGACGCAAGUCUGACGGAGCAACGCCGCGUGAGUGAAGAAGGUUUUCGGAUCGUAAAACUCUGUUGUUAGAGAAGAACAAGUGCUAGAGUAACUGUUAGCGCCUUGACGGUAUCUAACCAGAAAGCCACGGCUAACUACGUGCCAGCAGCCGCGGUAAUACGUAGGUGGCAAGCGUUGUCCGGAUUUAUUGGGCGUAAAGCGCACGCAGGCGGUCUGUCAAGUCGGAUGUGAAAUCCCCGGGCUCAACCUGGGAACUGCAUUCGAAACUGGCAGGCUAGAGUCUUGUAGAGGGGGGUAGAAUUCCAGGUGUAGCGGUGAAAUGCGUAGAGAUCUGGAGGAAUACCGGUGGCGAAGGCGGCCCCCUGGACAAAGACUGACGCUCAGGUGCGAAAGCGUGGGGAGCAAACAGGAUUAGAUACCCUGGUAGUCCACGCCGUAAACGAUGUCGAUUUGGAGGUUGUGCCCUUGAGGCGUGGCUUCCGGAGCUAACGCGUUAAAUCGACCGCCUGGGGAGUACGGCCGCAAGGUUA
rnacentral:rRNA from 1 species